GUUUACACAAGUUUGCACAAGCGCAAACUUGUAUUAUUAUAUGCACGUUCUCACUUCGUUGCGAACGUGCGUAAAAAGUCAAUCGAAAGUUGAAACUUUCUUCUUGACUUUUUAUGGGA
rfam:Treponema sp. OMZ 838, complete genome.